UACGUAGGGCGCAAGCGUUAUCCGGAAUUAUUGGGCGUAAAGAGCUCGUAGGCGGUUUGUCGCGUCUGCCGUGAAAGUCCGGGGCUCAACUCCGGAUCUGCGGUGGGUACGGGCAGACUAGAGUGCAGUAGGGGAGACUGGAAUUCCUGGUGUAGCGGUGAAAUGCGCAGAUAUCAGGAGGAACACCGAUGGCGAAGGCAGG
rnacentral:rRNA from 1 species